GUGUCAGCCGCCGCGGUAAUACGUAGGGUCCAAGCGUUAAUCGGAAUUACUGGGCGUAAAGCGUGCGCAGGCGGUUGUGCAAGACCGAUGUGAAAUCCCCGAGCUUAACUUGGGAAUUGCAUUGGUGACUGCACGGCUAGAGUGUGUCAGAGGGAGGUAGAAUUCCACGUGUAGCAGUGAAAUGCGUAGAGAUGUGGAGGAAUACCGAUGGCGAAGGCAGCCUCCUGGGAUAACACUGACGUUCAUGCUCGAAAGCGUGGGUAGCAAACAGGAUUAGAUACCCCCGUAGUCC
rnacentral:rRNA from 1 species